UCCCCUAGUAACUGCGAGUGAAGCGGGAAAAGCUCAAAUUUAAAAUCUGGCGGUCUUUGGCCGUCCGAGUUGUAGUCUGGAGAAGUGCUUUCCGCGCUGGACCGUGUAUAAGUCUCUUGGAACAGAGCAUCAUAGAGGGUGAGAAUCCCGUCUUUGACACGGACUACCAGUGCUUUGUGAUGCGCUCUCAAAGAGUCGAGUUGUUUGGGAAUGCAGCUCAAAAUGGGUGGUGAAUUCCAUCUAAAGCUAAAUAUUGGCGAGAGACCGAUAGCGAACAAGUACCGUGAGGGAAAGAUGAAAAGCACUUUGGAAAGAGAGUUAAACAGUACGUGAAAUUGCUGAAAGGGAAACGCUUGAAGUCAGUCGCGUUGUUCGGAACUCAGCCUUGCUUUUGCUUGGUGCAUUUUCCGGAUGACGGGUCAGCAUCGAUUUUGACCGUCGGAAAAGGGCUGGAGUAAUGUGGCACCUCCGGGUGUGUUAUAGACUUCAGUCGCAUACGGCGGUCGGGAUCGAGGAACGCAGCGCGCCGUAAGGCAGGGGUUCGCCCACUUUCGCGCUUAGGAUGCUGGCAUAAUGGCUUUAAACGACCCGUCUUGAAACACGGACCAAGGAGUCUAACAUACCUGCGAGUGUUUGGGUGGCAAACCCGAGCGCGUAAUGAAAGUGAAAGUUGAGACCUCUGUCGUGGAGGGCAUCGAC
rnacentral:rRNA from 1 species